rnacentral:tRNA from 1 species
GGAGGUAUGGCUCAAGUGGAAGAGUAUGAGGCUACCAAGCUUGAGACCCUGAGUUCAAACCUUAGUAGUGCUA